CUUCAGUAAGUCAUCACAACAGCGCUCCUCUAUUAACCAUUUAACAAUGUUUCUACUAGUGUUGCAUUGAGAAAUAGCUCCUAUAAUGAGCUCAUUAGAUGCGCAAUUACAAAAGGUGGUUUGCUAAUUGCUUCUGGCGAGUCUGACGGUGUUGAGUUGGGGGAGCCAUGGGGUUGGGCUGCUCUGUAAGGCAGAAGUUUGGAAGCUAACUGCAGCUUUAAGGUGGAGCUGUGCCUUGAAGGUGGUGCUUAGGACCAACCAUUCGUUUUGGACAGCUGAAUAGUUGCCAUGGGAGAUCAAAGGAAUUCACAAACAUGCAAGAAUCAAGGCAACGCCCCAGCAUCCAGAUGAUGAGCCACGGUGACUGUGUCCAACGAGGCCUCGUUCAGAUCAGUGAGAAACCGUGUGUGAACAGUCCUGUCUCCCAGCGUGCUCAUUGAGCAGCUAUGAGACCUCUGGGUUUGAAGUUUUCAACAUUUGAUCCAUGGGAAACCCUUGCAGACAAUGAUGCUGGUUAACAAUGUAGCCCCAGUUCGGAGUGUCCCCUGAGAGCCUCUGCACACUGCAGAUCUUAUGACCUGUCCUGGAUACAUCUCCCCACUGGGAAUGGACCACUCCCAUCUGGCUUGGUACACUAUCUAGGAGAAGGUAGAGUUACAUACUCUUUCUGGUACCGAGACUUGGGCCACGGUUGUUGUUCAUGGAUAAAAUGUGUGUUGGUAUGCGUGGAUAUGAAGGUGGGCUGAGGGGAUUUAAAGCAGAACUUGGUUACAUAAUCCCCCCUUUGGCUACCAAACCAUGACUUAUUUUAAAAGUUUGCAUUAAGUUGCAAAUAAAAUAUUUCUCAAUGCUGUAUAAUUUGAUCAAGUUGGAACGGAAAUUAACUUUUCUUCAUUUCGGACUAAAUACAAAUAUUUACUUUUUCUGUCAUGACUUAGAAAAAUUAUGUCAACAUUGGAAAUCUUCUCUGUGAUCCCAGCUCUCCUUCUGACGCCUUUAACAGAAUAAUCGACAAUCAGUCCACAGACACUCACGCCAAGAGUUAACAAAAUAAACAGUUUAGUUCAACGUUCCACCCAUAAUUGGUUUAACUUAUGAGUGCAGACCUCUGAUGGUGUAAUUGCUAUUGUCACUUACAGAAUACAGAGUCUGUUUGCUAUAAAGCAGGAUAG